rnacentral:rRNA from 1 species
GACGAACGCUGGCGGCGUGCUUAACACAUGCAAGUCGAACGGAAAGGCCCUGCUUUUGUGGGGUGCUCGAGUGGCGAACGGGUGAGUAACACGUGAGUAACCUGCCCUUGACUUUGGGAUAACUUCAGGAAACUGGGGCUAAUACCGGAUAGGAGCUCCUGCUGCAUGGUGGGGGUUGGAAAGUUUCGGCGGUUGGGGAUGGACUCGCGGCUUAUCAGCUUGUUGGUGGGGUAGUGGCUUACCAAGGCUUUGACGGGUAGCCGACCUGAGAGGGUGACCGGCCACAUUGGGACUGAGAUACGGCCCAGACUCCUACGUGAGGCAGCAGUGGGGAAUAUUGCACGAUGGGCGGAAGCCUGAUGCAGCAACGCCGCGUGCGGGAUGACGGCCUUCGGGUUGUAACCCGUUUUCGCCUGUGACGAAGCGUGAGUGACGGUAAUGGGUAAAGAAGCACCGGCUAACUACGUG